UGUGGCCUUGUUGGAGGAAAUGUGUCACUAGGGAUGGGCUUUGAGGUUUCAAAAGCCUAAGUCAGGCCCAGUGGCUUUCUCUUCCUGCUGCCUGCAGAUC
ensembl:miRNA